AAAGGCAAUGUGUUUGUCAAAGUCUGAAAGGAUGUGUCUCGGCGCAAUUGCUUCUGUGUUGGUGGUCAGCUGGGGGUGUCAUGCAGCCUCUCUGAAAGCUUAGUAAGAGAUGGGAGCCUCUGCAUUACUACACACUCCUGCCAGGAAGUGCUACCACACUGUAGGUCCCAAAGCCACGGAGCCACGGAGACAAAUGACCAUGGCCUGAACGCAGCAACAUGGCUCUGCUAACUCCAAAGGAUUCUGGGAAAUGUAGUUCCGCUGUAGGACCAAGAGGAACCUCUAGAGACCUUUUUUUCUUUGCAAAUUGUUUAUCUCUGGUAUUGUGUGAUAGAAGCUGAGCAGUACAGGGGCUUUGGGAUAGUUCAGGCGCUGGGGAUAGGGCUGGAUGACUACAAUGGCUAUGGGUGGGAAGGUGGAGACAUUGUAUAGAAGGAAGACAACCAGGACAUGGCCCGUCCGAUACCAGGAUGCUGCUGCUGCUGCUGCUGCUGCUGCAGGAUGCAGAUGAGGUGACUGGUUUAAUAAGAAGGAUUAGCCAUACCUGGUCCAUGAUCUAUUUGUAAACAAUGUUUUGUAGAGAAGCAGUUAUACCCAUUCACUGAUGUUUUAUCAUGGCUGGUUUUCCAUGGCAACAGCCAUUGAGCCAGACAAGAACUAUGUAUUUAUCCUCCCGCUCUUUACAAGUAGGUGUGCGGAUCUUGGACCCGUCAAGCACUCAUUUCAGUAAAGUUUUAAAAAUCAGUUGACUGGCUAGAGCUGUGUCUCAGAAGGUGAAGUGACUGCUACCCCAGCAGAAGGCCCAAGUUUGAGUCCCAGUACACAGGAAAUAAGCCAGAUGUUGUCGUGUGUUCCAGUUUCCUUUCUCUUG
rnacentral:lncRNA from 1 species